AAAAACAGAGCUUAAGCCCUCUUCCACAAAAACAAACAAUUCAGAAAACACAGAGCCGCCGCAAAAGCGCAGCGGAGGGAAAUCAGAAUUUCUUUUCAUUCUGAAAGGUAUUCAAGUAUCGUGGAAGAGAAAAAACAUUCAAACUGGAUACUCGUACAUGAAUGGCGUCUUCUCCAGCUUCUCCCCUUCCCAUGUCUUUCAGUCCCCACUCUCACUCACAAGGCAAGCCCAAGCGUUCAAAACACAGAUCAAAUUCCCCUGCUAACGAGAAUGAGAAGCACAAGCGAAAGAAAACCCCUUCUCCAUCACUGGAAUUGCCGUCAAAGGAACAGUUCGUCCAGCUUGUAGGCGUCUUGGCAGUUGCAGUGCUAGUCGCCACUUCCACCACUUAUAUAAUCGACUGGUAUUUCAAACCAUUCUGCGACUCAGAUGCCGAAUUGCAGGUCUUGCCAGAUUCUUGCAUACCUUGUCCAAAGCAUGGAAGAUGUGGGGGAGGUAGGUUGGAAUGUUUUCCAGGAUUCAUAAAGCAGGGGAGAACAUGUAAAGAAAACAGAGAGCUUGAUAAGAAAGCUCAAAAACUUGCAGACUGGGUCAAAGACCAUGCUUGUGGUUUAUAUGCUCAAUCAAUGUGUAACGGAGCUGGAAUAUUUUGGCUCCCUUGGGAGAACCUGAGACGAGAACUCAAUCAGAACGACCUAAUGGAAGAAUUCAACUUGAAGGUUGAUGAAAUACCAUUUCUGCAAGAGAAGGCAAUGGAUAUUAUCUAUGGCUUGUUUGAGAUGCGAACAACACUUGAUGGUUUGGAGGAAUUCAAGUGUCCUGAUUGGUUGGCGGAAAAGUAUAAACCACUUGGUUGUCGCACUCGAGAAUGGAUCUCCAAUAAUUAUUUAUUUUUAUUUAUAGUUUUUCCAUUGGCCUUGGUAGUUUUUAAAUUUCUAUGGGGAUUAUAUAAAAGAAAAAGAACAAUGGCUAGAGCUGAGCAUCUAUAUCAGCAGGUUUGUGAGGCACUUGAAGAGAAAGCAUUCAUGGAGAAGUCGAAGGGUGGUGCAGGAGAGCCUUGGGUAGUUGCUUCUCGACUACGGGAUCAUCUGCUUUUACCAAGGGAGAGAAAGAACACUUCUCUUUGGAAGCAGUUAUCGCAGGUUGAGGAAUUGAUCCAAGAAGAUUCUCGCAUUGAUCAAUAUCCUAAACUAGUGAAAGGGGAGUCUAGAACUGUGCUUGAAUGGCAAGUUGAAGGAGCACCAUGUUCAAGAACAAAGCAUAGGGAUAUUAACAACAGAACCUUACCAACGAAAGAUGACUUCUCUGGUGGUUGAAAAUCUCUCUUCAGCGCAAAUGUGACUAGCAGGCCUUGGUGACUUAGUUCUCAUCAAUCCUUUUUGAAGACUCAAUUCUAUAGAUGAUCUAUAAUGUUUACCAACGGUACCAUGUUGGAGAGUGCAGAUUCUUCCAUUGCGAAUUGAGCUAUAUGAAGCUACUUGGGGCUUGAAUGUAUUACUACGUGGAUUGGUAGUAAUAUUUGAUACAAGAAACACAAUGCAUUUGAUAUGUUGCACAAAUUUUAGGUCUGCAACAUGUCUACAUCGUGAACAGCCAACAGCCCGUUUUUCACAAAACAAAAUGGGACAGUUUCCAUAACUGAAACUGCUCGGUUUCGGGUUCAUUGCUAUCCAUUGUGUGCAGCUUUGUUGCAAUUCUUUGAAGAUAUAGAGAGCACAUAUUUAUUCAGAACAUGAGUAUAUUUCAGUGUCUGUUCUAAAAGAUAAGCAACUUAAUUUAGAGUCAGAAAAACAGCCUGAUCAAAGCUUAUUUUCAGCUCUAAAUUUCAAAAUAAAAUCAAUUUAUUUAGUAUUU